rnacentral:rRNA from 1 species
AGCGAACGCUGGCGGCAGGCUUAACACAUGCAAGUCGAACGCCCGGGCAACCGGGAGUGGCAGACGGGUGAGUAACGCGUGGGAACGUGCCCUUUGGUUCGGAAUAACUCAGGGAAACUUGAGCUAAUACCGGAUACGCCCCGAGGGGGGGAAAGAUUUAUCGCCGAAGGAUCGGCCCGCGUCCGAUUAGCUAGUUGGUGAGGUAGCGGCUCACCAAGGCGACGAUCGGUAGCUGGUCUGAGAGGAUGAUCAGCCACACUGGGACUGAGACACGGCCCAGACUCCUACGGGAGGCAGCAGUGGGGAAUAUUGGACAAUGGGGGCAACCCUGAUCCAGCCAUGCCGCGUGAGUGAUGAAGGCCUUAGGGUUGUAAAGCUCUUUCGGCGGGGACGAUAAUGACGGUACCCGCAGAAGAAGCCCCGGCUAACUUCGUGCCAGCAGCCGCCGUAA